rnacentral:rRNA from 1 species
GACGAACGCUGGCGGCGUGCCUAAUACAUGCCAGUCGAGCGAAUCUGAUGGGAGCUUGCUCCUUGAUGAUUAGCGGCGGACGGGUGAGUAACACGUGGGUAACCUGCCUGUAAGACUGGGAUAACUCCGGGAAACCGGGGCUAAUACCGGAUAACUUUUUUCUUCGCAUGAGGGAGAAUUGAAAGAUGGCUUCGGCUAUCACUUACAGAUGGACCCGCGGCGCAUUAGCUAGUUGGUGAGGUAACGGCUCACCAAGGCGACGAUGCGUAGCCGACUUGAGAGGGUGAUCGGCCACACUGGGACUGAGACACGGCCCAGACUCCUACGGGAGGCAGCAGUAGGGAAUCUUCCGCAAUGGACGAAAGUCUGACGGAGCAACGCCGCGUGAGUGAUGAAGGUUUUCGGAUCGUAAAACUCUGUUGUUAGGGAAGAACAAGUAUCGUUCGAAUAGGGCGGUACCUUGACGGUACCUAACCAGAAAGCCACGGCUAACUACGUG